GUGAUAAUAUGAUGUCAUAA
rnacentral:miRNA from 1 species